GACGAACGCUGGCGGCGUGCCUAAUACAUGCAAGUCGAACGCAGUGGGGACGGGUGAGUAACACGUGGGUAACCUCCCAUCAGAGGGGAUAACACUUGGAAACAGGUGCUAAACCGAUACUGAUGGAUGGACCCGCGGUGCAAUAGCUAGUUGGUGGGGUAACGGCUCACCAAGGCCACGAUGCAUAGCCGGCCUGAGAGGAUGAUCGGCCACACUGGAACUGAGACACGGCCCAGACUCCUACGGGAGGCAGCAGUGGGGAAUCUUCGGCAAUGGACGAAAGUCUGACCGAGCAACGCCGCGUGAGUGAAGAAGGUUUUCGGAUCGUAAAGCACUGUUGUUGGAGAAGCGGUAUCUAAAGAGAAAGCCACGGCUAACUACGUGCCAGCCGCCGCGGUAAUAC
rnacentral:rRNA from 1 species